GGAUCAGGGACAAUCAAGCUAAUUAACUAGGGCUACGGCUGCAGAUCAGUUCGAAAAAAAAAGGCUACACCUACACGUACCUUUGCCACAGUUCGAAGCAGGGACCACGGCCGACAAUUUAUCUCACAAAAAGAGGUCUAAAGGAUUAGUCCGAGCUUGCGAGCCCAUAAAGUUACAUGACGAAGCUUAACAACGGAACGAGAUUAAAAAAAAUAAAAGAGACAAGAGUGGCAUGCAUGAGCAGCAUCCCAU
rnacentral:lncRNA from 1 species